rnacentral:rRNA from 1 species
GAUGAACGCUAGCGGCAGGCCUAACACAUGCAAGUCGAGGGAGAAGCCCUUUCGGGGGCAGAAACCGGCGCACGGGUGCGUAACGCGUAUGCAACCUACCUUUCACAGGGGGAUAGCCCGAAGAAAUUUGGAUUAAUACCCCAUAAUAUUGUUGGAUGACAUCAUUUGGCAAUUAAAACUGCGGUGGUGAAAGAUGGGCAUGCGUCCUAUUAGCUAGUUGGAGUGGUAACGGCACCCCAAGGCUACGAUAGGUAGGGGUCCUGAGAGGGAGAUCCCCCACACUGGUACUGAGACAGGGACCAGACUCCUACGGGAGGCAGCAGUGAGGAAUAUUGGUCAAUGGUCGGAAGACUGAACCAGCCAUGCCGCGUGCAGGAAGAAUGCCUUAUGGG